rnacentral:rRNA from 1 species
AGGGUGACUUAGCGGCGGACGGGUGAGUAACGCGUGGGCAACCUGCCUUACACAGGGGGAUAACAAUUAGAAAUGAUUGCUAAUACCGCAUAAGACCCAGUACCGCAUGGUACAGGGGUAAAAACUGAGGUGGUGUAAGAUGGGCCCGCGUCUGAUUAGGUAGUUGGUGGGGUAGAAGCCUACCAAGCCGACGAUCAGUAGCCGACCUGAGAGGGCGACCGGCCGCAUUGGGACUGAGACACGGCCCAAACUCCUACGGAAGGCAGCAG